rnacentral:rRNA from 1 species
CCCUUGAAGGGUCGUUCGAGACCAGGACGUUGAUAGGUCAGGUGUGUAAGCGCAGUAAUGCGUUCAGCUAACUGAUACUAAUUGCCCGUAAGGCUUGAUCCUAUAACA